GUGAGGAAUAUUGGGCAAUGGGCGAAAGCCUGACCCAGCCACGCCGCGUGAGUGAUGAAGGCCUUCGGGUUGUAAAGCUCUGUGGGGAGGGAAGAAAAAGCGGGAGAGUAACUGCUCUCGUGUUGACGGUACCUCCUUAGCAAGCACCGGCUAACUCUGUGCCAGCAGCCGCGGUAAUACAGAGGGUGCAAACGUUGCUCGGAAUUACUGGGCGUAAAGCGCGUGUAGGCUGACAUGCAAGUCGGGUGUGAAAUCCCAGGGCUCAACCUUGGAACUGCACUCGAAACUGGACGUCUUGAGUACUGGAGAGGGAAGCGGAAUUCCGGGUGUAGAGGUGAAAUUCGUAGAUAUCCGGAGGAACACCAGUGGCGAAGGCGGCUUCCUGGACAGUAACUGACGCUGAGACGCGAAAGCGUGGGGAGCAAACAGGAUUAGAUACCCCUGUAGUCC
rnacentral:rRNA from 1 species